CUACGGGUGGCUCCAGUAAGGAAUAUUGCGCAAUGGAGGCAACUCUGACGCAGCCAUGCCGCGUGCAGGAAGAAGGCCUUAUGGGUCGUAAACUGCUUUUAUUUAGGAAUAAACCCCCGAACGUGUUCGGGGCUGAAGGUACUAAACGAAUAAGCACCGGCUAACUGCGUGCCAGCAGCCGCGGUAAUACGGAGGGUGCAAGCGCUAUCCGGAUUUAUUGGGUUUAAAGGGUGCGCAGGCGGGCUAUUAAGUCAGUGGUGAAAUCCCGGGGCUCAACUCCGGAACUGCCAUUGAUACUGAUAGUCUUGAGUUUGGUUGAAGUGGGCGGAAUGUAGCAUGUAGCGGUGAAAUGCAUAGAUAUGCUACAGAACACCAAUCGCGAAGGCAGCUCACUAAGCCAAAACUGACGCUCAUGCACGAAAGCGUGGGGAUCAAACAGGAUUAGAUACCCUAGUAGUC
rnacentral:rRNA from 1 species